rnacentral:sRNA from 1 species
UGCUGCUGAUGCUGCCGCUGCUAAUUCUAAUACAGGCGAAUCGUUGGCUGCGGGGCGUGGGGAUGUAGAUGCGGAGAGUGAGACGGAUGAGGAUGAGGACGGCGGUGGGUAUUAUGAUCCUAGGAAGCCGACUGGGUGUUUUGAGGGAUGUGCUGGGGUGGGGAUUAUCCCGGUUGCAUGAAACAUGAAUUAUGAAUUUGGGAUGGCGACUUUUGCUUUUAUUUGAUUGUAUAUAUUUUUCCAUGCGUUUUUCUGGAAUGCCGGAGUGCUUGGUGUUAUGGAAUGGAAUGGAACAUAUAAUGACAGCGUUUAGAUAUAUAUAUACUCCUAACCCAAAGAACGAACUAGAACUAUACCAAACUCCC